GUCUUCUUAGUAGACGACGCGACGCAUAGUUGUUAUCAUAGCGAACCGCCUAUCUCUCUUCCGCGGUGGAGAGUAUCGUGGUCUGAAACUACAUACAUCUGAGGAGCGAGAUCGAUAGUAAUUAUGCUUCAAUUUUUGCUUCACAGAAACAUAUCAGCCCAGUAUUGUCUGGCUAGCCGGCGGUGUAUAGAGGGAGGCGCAUGCAUUCAUCGUUAUUAGCUGGCAGUCAAGCGGAGCGUAGGUGUUGAUAUGUUGGAUGAGAAAUCCCCGGGCCUCACGUGGGAGCUGCUAUCAAACUGACUGACUAGAGUAUGGUAGAGGGUGGUGGAAUUCCUGUGUAGCGGUGAAAUGCGUAGAUAUAGGAAGGAACACCAGUGGCGAAGGCGACCACCUGGACUAAUACUGACACUGAGGUGCGAAAGCGUGGGGAGCAAACAGGAUUAGAUACCCUGGUAGUGCACGCCGUAAACGAUGUCAACUAGCCGUUGGAAGCCUUGAGCUUUUAGUGGCGCAGCUAACGCAUUAAGUUGACCGCCUGGGGAGUACGGCCGCAAGGUUAAAACUCAAAUGAAUUGACGGGGGCCCGCACAAGCGGUGAAGCAUGUGGUUUAAUUCGAAGCAACGCGAAGAACCUUACCAGGCCUUGACAUCCAAUGAACUUUCUAGAGAUAGAUUGGUGCCUUCGGGAACAUUGAGACAGGUGCUGCAUGGCUGUCGUCAGCUCGUGUCGCGAGAUGUUGGGUUAAGUCCCGUAACGAGCGCAACCCUUGUCCUUAGUUACCAGCACAUAAUGGUGGGCACUCUAAGGAGACUGCCGGUGACAAACCGGAGGAAGGUGGGGAUGACGUCAAGUCAUCAUGGCCCUUACGGCCUGGGCUACACACGUGCUACAAUGGUCGGUACAGAGGGUUGCCAAGCCGCGAGGUGGAGCUAAUCCCAUAAAACCGAUCGUAGUCCGGAUCGCAGUCUGCAACUCGACUGCGUGAAGUCGGAAUCGCUAGUAAUCGCGAAUCAGAAUGUCGCGGUGAAUACGUUCCCGGGCCUUGUACACACCGCCCGUCACACCAUGGGAGUGGGUUGCACCAGAAGUAGCUAGUCUAACCUUCGGGAGGACGGUUACCACGGUGUGAUUCAUGACUGGGGUGAAGUCGUAACAAGG
rnacentral:rRNA from 1 species